AUGUCUUUCCAUCUGGCAGCCCAAAAGAUUCACAUCAGCUCCGCCACCUACCAGACCCUCCUGACGGAUGACGCGUAUGAAAUUGAGCUUCGAGGAGAGAUUGACGUCAAGGGCAAAGGAAAAAUGAAAACCUACUGGCUCCUGGGGAACAAGAAGUACGGUGUUCAGAACGACAGCCUGGUGUGCCACUGGUGGCCUUCCCAUAAUGCCUCUGGAAACAAGAUGGCAGAGAGCAGCCCAUGCUUGGGCCUGGCUUCCAGUGCAAUGGGAGCUGCCCUGGGUGAAGCCCCUGAAACAGCCUCCUCAACAGAAAAGGUCUCAUCUAGCAAUACCACAAACCCCUCUGAGCUGAUGGGGCAGCCUGGGGGUGAGAUGCCCCAUAGACCCAUACUAGGUGAUGGAGCCUCCCUCCUGGCAUCCCCUUCUCCUGGCCAAAGCACCCCUGUAUGCCCGAGGAACAGCAGCCAGGGGCACCUAGGGAAGGACAAAUUCCUGCCCGGUUUCGUGGAGGAGAUGGAAUAAACCCAAUGGAUUGGCCUUCCCAGGAGCUGGACUUCAGGGCUAUCUCUUCAGGUCUGUGGAUGGGCCACUGACCCAAGGGCCAAAGCCUGGACUCAACACAAGGAGAAGGAUCUGAGGACUAAACUCUGGAAGCUAAAAGCAGCCUUUGGUGCCAACUGAGACCCCUUGUCUGUAACCUCAAACUCUAUGAGCUCCUUUGGGAGUGAAGGGUAAAAAGGGGCAGUGAGCAGGACUUGGUCUGGAGAGCUACACCUGGGAAUAAUGGGCUUAUGGAGUCUGACCUGUAAGGGAGCUUAGAGACCAUUUAGUCCAGGAGUCCUUACCCUGGGAUGGACUCUAGGAGUCUCUAAAUUUGGAUGGGAAAAAUUACAUCUCUAUUUUUACUAACUUCUAACUACAAUUUAGCAUUUCCAUCAAUUAUGAAUUUUAAAAAAAACCCAUUAUUCUAGCAACAGGUUGGUGGAUUUUAGCUGCUAAAGACAUACACAAAGGGUAAGAACCCCAGAUCCAGUCCAUGAUGCUAUUUUACAAAAAAAGAAACUGAGGCUCAGAGGAGUGAACUGAUUUCCCAAGGUGACUUUGGUACAAUCCUCUGGGUCUCAGAUUCCUCAGCAGCGCCCUUCUGAGAUCUUUUCUUCCACUCUAAAAUGGGGAUAAUAAUAGCACCAACUUCACAGGGCUGUUAUGAGUAUGAAGGGAGAUAACCUAUGUUAAAUGCUUCACAAACCUUAAAGUAAUAUGGAAAUGUGUUAAAAUAGUAAUAAUAAUUAUUAGUAGCAGUUGUGUUAGUAUUACUAGUAUUUAUUAUUAUUAGUUAUUGUUGUAGUAGUAGGUAGUAGUAGUAGUAACAGUAGUAAUAAGAGGAGGAAAAGGAGUGGUAGUAGUAGUAGCAGCAGCAGCAGCAGUAAUAGUUACAGUAGUAGUGGUAGUAGUAGUAGUAGUAGUAGUAAUAGUAGUAAUAGGAGGGAAAGGUGGAGUAGUAGUAAGAGGAGGAGUAACAAUAAUAGUAGUGGUAGUAGUAGUGGUGGUGGUAGUAGUAGCAAUAGUAGCUCUAGAUGGCCUCUAAGGUUCUUUCCAAAUCUAAAUGGAUGAUCCCAUGAUCUUUGAAUGGGAACAGACUGAAUAAAAAUGGCUAACAUGGAGUUCA
ensembl:lncRNA